GGGUUGUGAGGUUAAGCGACUAAGCGUACACGGUGGAUGCCCUGGCAGUCAGAGGCGAUGAAGGACGUGCUAAUCUGCGAUAAGCGUCGGUAAGGUGAUAUGAACCGUUAUAACCGGCGAUUUCCGAAUGGGGAAACCCAGUGUGUUUCGACACACUAUCAUUAACUGAAUCCAUAGGUUAAUGAGGCGAACCGGGGGAACUGAAACAUCUAAGUACCCCGAGGAAAAGAAAUCAACCGAGAUUCCCCCAGUAGCGGCGAGCGAACGGGGAGCAGCCCAGAGCCUGAAUCAGUGUGUGUGUUAGUGGAAGCGUCUGGAAAGGCGCGCGAUACAGGGUGACAGCCCCGUACACAAAAAUGCACAUACUGUGAGCUCGAUGAGUAGGGCGGGACACGUGGUAUCCUGUCUGAAUAUGGGGGGACCAUCCUCCAAGGCUAAAUACUCCUGACUGACCGAUAGUGAACCAGUACCGUGAGGGAAAGGCGAAAAGAACCCCGGCGAGGGGAGUGAAAAAGAACCUGAAACCGUGUACGUACAAGCAGUGGGAGCCUCUUAAUGGGGUGACUGCGUACCUUUUGUAUAAUGGGUCAGCGACUUAUAUUCUGUAGCAAGGUUAACCGAAUAGGGGAGCCGAAGGGAAACCGAGUCUUAACUGGGCGUUAAGUUGCAGGGUAUAGACCCGAAACCCGGUGAUCUAGCCAUGGGCAGGUUGAAGGUUGGGUAACACUAACUGGAGGACCGAACCGACUAAUGUUGAAAAAUUAGCGGAUGACUUGUGGCUGGGGGUGAAAGGCCAAUCAAACCGGGAGAUAGCUGGUUCUCCCCGAAAGCUAUUUAGGUAGCGCCUCGUGAAUUCAUCUCCGGGGGUAGAGCACUGUUUCGGCAAGGGGGUCAUCCCGACUUACCAACCCGAUGCAAACUGCGAAUACCGGAGAAUGUUAUCACGGGAGACACACGGCGGGUGCUAACGUCCGUCGUGAAGAGGGAAACAACCCAGACCGCCAGCUAAGGUCCCAAAGUCAUGGUUAAGUGGGAAACGAUGUGGGAAGGCCCAGACAGCCAGGAUGUUGGCUUAGAAGCAGCCAUCAUUUAAAGAAAGCGUAAUAGCUCACUGGUCGAGUCGGCCUGCGCGGAAGAUGUAACGGGGCUAAACCAUGCACCGAAGCUGCGGCAGCGACGCUUAUGCGUUGUUGGGUAGGGGAGCGUUCUGUAAGCCUGCGAAGGUGUGCUGUGAGGCAUGCUGGAGGUAUCAGAAGUGCGAAUGCUGACAUAAGUAACGAUAAAGCGGGUGAAAAGCCCGCUCGCCGGAAGACCAAGGGUUCCUGUCCAACGUUAAUCGGGGCAGGGUGAGUCGACCCCUAAGGCGAGGCCGAAAGGCGUAGUCGAUGGGAAACAGGUUAAUAUUCCUGUACUUGGUGUUACUGCGAAGGGGGGACGGAGAAGGCUAUGUUGGCCGGGCGACGGUUGUCCCGGUUUAAGCGUGUAGGCUGGUUUUCCAGGCAAAUCCGGAAAAUCAAGGCUGAGGCGUGAUGACGAGGCACUACGGUGCUGAAGCAACAAAUGCCCUGCUUCCAGGAAAAGCCUCUAAGCAUCAGGUAACAUCAAAUCGUACCCCAAACCGACACAGGUGGUCAGGUAGAGAAUACCAAGGCGCUUGAGAGAACUCGGGUGAAGGAACUAGGCAAAAUGGUGCCGUAACUUCGGGAGAAGGCACGCUGAUAUGUAGGUGAAGCGACUUGCUCGUGGAGCUGAAAUCAGUCGAAGAUACCAGCUGGCUGCAACUGUUUAUUAAAAACACAGCACUGUGCAAACACGAAAGUGGACGUAUACGGUGUGACGCCUGCCCGGUGCCGGAAGGUUAAUUGAUGGGGUUAGCGGUAACGCGAAGCUCUUGAUCGAAGCCCCGGUAAACGGCGGCCGUAACUAUAACGGUCCUAAGGUAGCGAAAUUCCUUGUCGGGUAAGUUCCGACCUGCACGAAUGGCGUAAUGAUGGCCAGGCUGUCUCCACCCGAGACUCAGUGAAAUUGAACUCGCUGUGAAGAUGCAGUGUACCCGCGGCAAGACGGAAAGACCCCGUGAACCUUUACUAUAGCUUGACACUGAACAUUGAGCCUUGAUGUGUAGGAUAGGUGGGAGGCUUUGAAGUGUGGACGCCAGUCUGCAUGGAGCCG
rnacentral:rRNA from 1 species